UGUCCUAGUGUAGCGGUGAAUGCGUAGAUAUUACGAUGAAACCAGUGGCGAAGGCGGCUUUCUGGACUGAAACUGACGCUGAGGCUCGAAAGCGUGGGGAGCAAACAGGAUUAGAUACCCUGGUAGUCCACGCCGUAAACGAUGAGUGCUAGGUGUCGGGGAGGAAUCCUCGGUGCCGCAGUUAACACAAUAAGCACUCCACCUGGGGAGUACGACCGCAAGGUUGAAACUCAAAGGAAUUGACGGGGGCCCGCACAAGCGGUGGAGCAUGUGGUUUAAUUCGAAGCAACGCGAAGAACCUUACCAAGGUUUGACAUCCCGCUGACGUAUUCAGAGAUGAGUAUUUUCUUCGGAACAGCGGAGACAGGUGGUGCAUGGUUGUCGUCAGCUCGUGUCGUGAGAUGUUGGGUUAAGUCCCGCAACGAGCGCAACCCUUAUCAUUAGUAGCCAGCAUUUAGGAUGGGCACUCUAAUGAGACUGCCGUGGAUAACACGGAGGAAGGUGGGGAUGACGUCAAAUCAUCAUGCCCCUUAUAUCUUGGGCUACACACGUGCUACAAUGGCCGGUACAAAGAGAAGCGAGACCGCGAGGUGGAGCAAAACUCAUAAAACCGGUCCCAGUUCGGAUUGUAGUCUGCAACUCGACUACAUGAAGCUGGAAUCGCUAGUAAUCGCAAAUCAGAAUGUUGCGGUGAAUACGUUCCCGGGCCUUGUACACACCGCCCGUCACACCAUGGGAGUUGGAAGCACCCGAAGUCUGUGACCCAACCGUAAGGGAGGAGCAGCCGAAGGUGAAGCCAGUGACUGGGGUGAAGUCGUAACAAGGUAGCCGUAUCGGAAGGUGCGGCUG
rnacentral:rRNA from 1 species